AUUUUACCAAAUCUAGUGGCUCUAUUUAUAUUUUAUCGAAUAAAUAAUUAUACAUAAAAAUUUAAAUGAAAAUAAUGUUAAGGAAUUAUCCGAUCUUUCUUUAAUCUUGAAAGCUUAAAAUUUUUUUUUAAUCAAAAUAUUCUUGAUAAUUUUAUCUGCAUUAAACGCAUUAAAAAACUGAAAUAUAAUAUAUUUUAGCUUUUGAACAAAACUCUCUUUUUGUUUCAAUCGACAGAACAAUGCUUGCAUAUAGUUAUGUGAUUUACUUUUGCUUAAAUAGGAAAAAAAUAAAAUCUAUAAUUUAUUUCAAAAUUACUAUUACUACUGAACCUGAACCGAAAUCCGAAACUAAAAACAAAAACAAAAUCAGAUAAAAACAUACUAUAUAUAAAAUAUAAUUUUUAUAUAUUUUUUAAUAAUUAAUAUAUAUUAAUAAUUUAAUUUAAUAUGUAUAUAUUAAAUACUCAAAUUUAGAUUUACAAAAAAUAUCUUGAAAUACCUAUUAGUAUUUCUACUAUUAAUAAGAAAUAAAGGGUAAAAAUGGUAUUUUGAAAAUUUAACUCCUUUUCAGAUGGGAUUUAACGGAUUUUAACUAAUGAGGGGUAUUUAUGAUAAUUUUAAACAUAUUGGAGGGUAUUUGUGAUAUUAUCAAUUUUAGAAGGAUAUUGAUGAAAUUAAUAAUUUCUAGAAGGAUAUUUAUGAAAUUAUUUCUUUAAAA
rnacentral:lncRNA from 1 species